GCCAGGUGUGGUGGCGUGCACCUGUAGUCCCAGCUACUUGGGAGGCUGAGGCAGAAGAAUCGCUUGAACCCAGGAGGCAGAGGUUGCAGUGAGCCAAGAUUGCGCCACUGCACUCCAGCCUGAGCUACAGAGCGAGACUCCGUCUCAA
rnacentral:SRP_RNA from 1 species